CCUACGGGAGGCUGCAGUGGGGAAUAUUGCACAAUGGGCGCAAGCCUGAUGCAGCCAUACCGCGUGUGUGAAGAAGGCCUUCGGGUUGUAAAGCACUUUCGGCGGGGAGGAAGGCGUUAAGGUUAAUAACCUUGUCGAUUGACGUUACCCGCAGAAGAAGCACCGGCUAACUCCGUGCCAGCAGCCGCGGUAAUACGGAGGGUGCAAGCGUUAAUCGGAAUUACUGGGCGUAAAGCGCACGCAGGCGGUCUGUCAAGUCGGAUGUGAAAUCCCCGGGCUCAACCUGGGAACUGCAUUCGAAACUGGCAGGCUAGAGUCUGGUAGAGGGGGGUAGAAUUCCAGGUGUAGCGGUGAAAUGCGUAGAGAUCUGGAGGAAUACCGGUGGCGAAGGCGGCCCCCUGGACAAAGACUGACGCUCAGGUGCGAAAGCGUGGGGAGCAAACAGGAUUAGAUACCCGAGUAGUC
rnacentral:rRNA from 1 species